GGCUCGCUCAUUCUCUCGCCCUCUUGCUUCCCCUGCGGUCUCUCGCUCUGCGCGCACACACCACACACACGCACACGCACACACACGCGCGCACACACGCAGCCGGCACAGGCGGCGGCGGCGGCGGCGGCUGCCCAAGUCAGGACGAACCUCUCUAGGUACCGUCUUGAGAAGGCGGCGGCGGCGGCGGCGGCGGCGGCGGCAGCCCGAGCAUCCCUCCUCACCCGGAGAGGGAGCACAGCCGAGAGUUUCCGUUCCCUUGGCCAUUCCCUUCCCCCUCCUUUUCUUUAUUUGCGAGAGAAUUUCUUCUUGGCUUAUUGGUUUAAUUUGAUUUUGAACAUUUUUGGUUGCUUUUGUGUGUGUGUGUGCUUUUUUUUCUUUCCUCAUUUUAUUUGCAUCCAGAGCAUGGCGGGCUGCGGGCUGUCGGAAGACACCUUCUUCUCUUCCUUCUUUUACAACUACGGCUCCUCCUGGGAAACCCCUUCC
rnacentral:lncRNA from 1 species